GUGCUCCUUUUGGCAGCAUAUAUACUAAAAUUGGAAUGAUACAAGGAAGAUUAGCAUUGCCCCUAGGCAGGGAUGACACAAAUUCAUGAAGCAUUGGCAUUCCUA
ensembl:snRNA U6 U6 spliceosomal RNA